UGGUCAAGUAAGCUUUGAUGGUUGAGAGGUUUUGGCGAAUGAAGUUAGCCAAGGCCUUGGUCUCCUUCUCUGAUUCAGGUGCGCUGCCACAAUUAUGCCAUAGGAUAUACUUACUGCACCAUCCAGCAUCCAAAUUUCUGUUGGGAUCCGUACCAAUGCAACUACUGCCGGGAUUUACAGAACGUGUCUUCCUCCACAUGCGAGACUAUAACGAAAGAUAUUUGUGAAGCAUUGUAUCUGACAGAAGCACAGUACCAGUGACUGCGAACACAAAGAUGAAAAAUGAUAAUAAGAAAGUCACCAAAUCAAGAAAGAAAAGAAGAAUGUAUGGUAAAUUGUUAAGUAUAUUUUAAGAAUGGUACAAUUCAGCUCUGGCUUCAAGUGAAAGGACCAUGAGAAAGGAAAGUAUCCGUUUGGAACCUGUGUAUCAACAGUCCAUGAACAACAGACAGAGAAGGAAUGUCAGUCAUCUGAUCAGAAUUUUCUUUACUACUAAAAUUGCAGUGUUAAUUUGGAAAUUUUGCAUUUAUUAAUUAAAAUUAUCA